CUCCAGGCAGGGGGGGGUGGGGGGAGGACAAAGGCAGCGCGCAUCCUGCGGGCUGGGCACCUAUAAAUAACGCAGCCCGCCCCUCAGCCUUCCUCCCUUCCCCCAGCCGGUUUUAUAAAUACCAAAGGCUGAAAACAGUCUAAAUGCAAAGGGGGGAGGAAAAAAAGAGGAACAAACACCACCACCCCAACUGUAAAAUGGGGGGCGUGGGGGGGAAGAAGGCAAGCUAAUGAGCAGUUGGAGCCAACGUGCCGGGGGAGCGCUCCCCGCUGCCGUCACAUGGCUCUGCGUUGUUUUCCUCCUUCUCCCCCCACCGCCGGUGCGGCAGAGCGGCGGCUGCCUCCGCCCGCCCGUGGCCUCGGAUGGCGGGGAGGAGCCCCGCGGCCUCCCCGGCCCUCAGCCCCGGGUCCUGCUGAGCUGCUCCCUCAAAUCAGAUAGCAAAGCCCGGCUUCGGCGGGCGGAAGGCACACAAAGCCCACCUAGAGGGGUGCCUGGGCCAGGCCAUGCAGCCCAGCGGUGGGAGGGAUGAGCUGUUGUCCACACAACACAGAACACAUUUCCAAAGGAAAAAAAAAAAAAAAAAGCAAAAAAAAAAAAAAAAAAAAAGGAAAAACUGCAAGGCUGGGCUCCAUCCCUGCACCCUGCCCUGCCAGCAGCCAUGAUGGGAGUGCUGCUGGAGCCCCUUCUGCCCUCACAUGGAAGAGACGCGGCGUUGGUUAAAGCAAACAGCGAUACAGUGCUCCGAACAGCGAUACAGUGCUCCUCUGCUGUUUCUGGGAACGUGGGACGCCUCCUGGAGCGGGACGCCAUGGCCGGAGAGGUGCUGAGCCGUCCUCAGGGUUUUGCAGGGUUCUUUAGAGCUGUGCUGCAGUGUUUCAGCCACUUGCAUCAUCAUGAGUUGUCAGCAUGCAAAGCCAUUAAAGAAUUGGCUGAUUGAAACAGCACCAGCCAUGAGCUUCCCUGGAUUUUAAGCUGGUGUUUAAAUAGAUCUAUGGAUCUUAACGUCUGCAUUUUAAACCUCAAUUUUGGUCUGUUUAACCCUGAAGCAAACUAGCUCUGCCUAACGCAGCACAGGCUUCGAAACAAUUCAGCCAGACCAUAAUACCGUGGGAGCUCAGACAGCUUUGUCUGCACUCGCACCUCUCUGCACGUCUCCGCAGGACCGUGACUGCUGCUGUGUGCAAUCCAUCACCGCAUGGACGGUGCUGGAACCCCCGGCUGCUCCCCAGCACGCACCAGGGCCCACACCGGCCAAACCCCACGGGGUAAAGCAGAGCCAGGGCUCUGCGUGGGUCCUCAGCACUUCUGGAAAUGGCUGUUGAGUGUCCUGGUUCCAGGUGCGUGCGUGCCUCAGUUUUGUCAACACUGAGUCAGGAGAUCUGAUCUACGCCAUCUCCCACCACACCCAUCCCUAGGAAUAAGGCCCAGUGCAGGAGCUGGCAGGGAGCCAUGGGGCACACUGAAACAUGUGCCUUCUCUGUAUCAGACAGAGCCAUUAAAUAGUGUGGGACCCAAACCAGGUAGUUACAGCACCCAUAAAAGAGAGAUAACAGUUCUACAAUGCAGCAAUGACGACUGCACUUUGAGAUAUUCCUACUGGAUGGAUUUUAUUCCAUGUGAUUAUGUUGUCUUGAUUUUAUAUUCUCAUAAUCGUGUAGAUGCUUCACAAGGGUUGAAGUACAGCUCUCUUCUAGAUGUUACCUACUAGUGAUACUUGCAUUUAUCACUUAACUUCAGUUUCUCUCUCAGCAGCUGAACUCACAAAGCUGCCUCUCCUGUGGAUUUGCAGACAAAUCCCUGCAGACUCCUUCCAGUUCUUUCCCUGUUUGGCUGGGCAAGGGGACAUCACUGCCCCUGGGGGGAGCUGAGACUACCCGCCUUUCCACCAGGGCACGGUGCUGCCUCUGCUGCAUACUCUUCUCAGCUAUUCCUUCCAGACCUAAAAUGUUUGGGAUUUCUUCCCCACCGUCAAAUUUGACUGAGGUUGGAGGAAGGAGGGAAAAAAUGACAGAGAACUUUUAGGAAACCAGGCUAAAAAUAUCAAAGGACUGUUGAGCUGGAAUACGCGUUGGGCAUUUGCCUGUUCAGGGUUUUUUGGCUUGUUUUUUUUUUUUCUUCUUUCCUUUCCUAUUUUUAACCUUUUCCUAAGUAUGGCACAUCAUACAGGUAAGGAAUUUCUCUGUCAAAAUAUGCACCUCCUGACGGAUUUUACCUGUGUUUCAGCAUGCUCUGCAGAUGCAUGGGCUGUAUGCACAUGGGCUGUGUGUGCUGCAUAAUGAUGGGGAACCACCAUUCUGCUGGGUGUUCGUGCCUGAGUACAAAGAGAGAUACCUUCAUAUGCAACAGGGGAACAAACAUUUCUUUUGUUUAAGAUCUAUACAAGUUUUGAUGGACAUGUUGGGCAUUUGCCAGGGCUGGCUUUUUUCUUCUCCUUUUAAACUACAUCUGUUCAUUUUAUUUCUGGUAGUAUUAUGACAAAGCCACCUCUGUAAGAAAGGUAGCUUGUGCUUUCAGAGAUCUAAUCAUUCUUGAGCUUUUAAAGAAUAAAGAAGCUGUUUCAACAUCUGAA
ensembl:lncRNA